rnacentral:lncRNA from 1 species
AAAAACUAAAUCAUAGGUGUGCAGUGCACUGAAAAAAAAGGAAAAAGGAGAAAAGCUAUGCAGUGCACAUGAUUUAUCACUAUUUCAAAAUAAUUUAUUGGAUUUUAUUAAAGGUGGUAAAAUUAUAUAUUUCAAUUUUAUACAUACAAAAAUAAAAAUAAUUAAAAAAUAGAGGGUGUCGGCCCUCUCCUUCUGCCAC